rnacentral:rRNA from 1 species
AUACGUAGGGGGCAAGCGUUGUCCGGAAUUACUGGGUGUAAAGGGUGUGCAGGCGUCUCCCUAAGUUGAUUGUGAAAGCCCGAAGCUCAACUUCGGAACGGCAGUCAAUACUGGGGGGAUGGAGGUUAUGGGAGGGAAGUGGAAUUCUCGGUGUAGCGGUGAAAUGCGUAGAUAUCGAGAGGAACACCGGUGGCGAAGGCGGCUUCCUAUCAUAGACCUGACGCUCAUACACGAAAGCUAGGGGAGC